AUGGCAUAUGUGUAAACGAGCUUCUGUAAAAUCUGGGAAAAUCAAGAAAAUAAUAUCGUCUAUUGAAUUAGUUUUCAAAAUUCUGAGAAUGUGGAAAUAAGAACAUGUGAUACUGAGAAAAUGGAAAAUAGUCAAAAGGUUGUGUUUAGCACCAUGGCCUAUUCACACAAAGAAUAAUAAUCUCAAUAAAAAGACAAUGCAUGUUGGAAGACAGAUUGAGAGCAUAGCAAGUUAGCAACGACAGUGAGAAGAAGAAGACGGAGAAGACCAUCAUGAUUAAGAAAGAAGCAAAGAAAAAGAAGUCUCAUUCGAUGGAGAAGAGGUUCUACAGGAAGAGAACGUGACGUGAACUAUUUUUACAUUUUUAAAAUAAU